rnacentral:rRNA from 1 species
GAUGAACGCUAGCUACAGGCUUAACACAUGCAAGUCGAGGGGCAUCGGGAUGUAGCAAUACAUUGCCGGCGACCGGCGCACGGGUGAGUAACGCGUAUCCGACCUGGCCUUCACUCGGGGAUAGCCCCUUGAAAGAGGGAUUAAUACCUGAUAUGUGGAAGAGUUACCUGACGCUUUCACGAAAGAUUCAUCGGUGAAGGAUGGGGAUGCGUCCCAUUAGCUUGUUGGCGGGGUAACGGCCCACCAAGGCUUCGAUGGGUAGGGGUACUGAGAGGUAGGUCCCCCACAUUGGAACUGAGACACGGUCCAAACUCCUACGGGAGGCAGCAGUGAGGAAUAUUGGUCAAUGGGCGCUAGCCUGAACCAGCCACGUAGCGUGAAGGAUGACUGUCCUAUGGAUUGUAAACUUCUUUUUCGGGAGGGUAAAGUGAGGUACGUGUACCUUAUUGCAAGUAUCCCGUGAAUAAGCAUCGGCUAACUCCGUGCCAGCAGCCGCGGUAAUACGGAGGAUGCGAGCGUUAUCCGGAUUUAUUGGGUUUAAAGGGAGCGUAGGCGGACGAUUAAGUCAGUGGUUAAAUUGUGUGGCUCAACCAUGCCCUGCCAUUGAUACUGGUUGUCUUGAGUGUACAAGAGGUGGAUGG